AUGAGGGGUGCUCUAGGUUUUCACGCAAGUACUAGAAACCACCAAAGUGGAAACUUGAGAUGUAAACAAAACAUACUUUCCAUAGAUGGAGCAAAGUCUGUAUCAAGGAAGAAACCAAUGUCAGAGGAUUCUGAGAGCAGCUCAAAUGGCUCAGGCCCUCUGUGCAUGCCAUGCUUAAUAAAGGCAAUAAAAAGGACUCAGAAGGACCUUAGGGAUGCGGGACAGCUUUACUGUUUUCCCAGAUGUCAACCUUCCAUAUUUUCAGUCCUCUGUAAUGACUUGGCCAUUCAUAAGACCUUCCCAAACCAUGUGGGAAGCUGUUUAUACAUUUAUCUUCUUCCUGUACCACCUGCCUGCAUAAUGCAUUUGGUAAGUUUAUUACCAUUUGGGAGAAAAACUUCCCCUGUAGAGUUUCAAAGGGUGUCCCCUCAUACUAGUAUUUUGAGAUUUGC
rnacentral:lncRNA from 1 species